rnacentral:rRNA from 1 species
UACGUAGGGGGGCAAGCGUUGUCCGGAUUCAUUGGGCGUAAAGAGCUCGUAGGCGGUUCAGUAAGUCGGGUGUGAAAGCUCCGAGCUCAACUCGGAGAGGCCACCCGAUACUGCUGUGACUUGAGUCCAGUAGAGGAGCGUGGAAUUCCUGGUGUAGCGGUGAAAUGCGCCAGAUAUCAGGAGGAACACCAGCAGCGAAGGCGGCGCUCUGGGCUGGAACUGACGCUGGAGGAGCGAAAGCGUGGUAGCAAACAGG